UACAGAGACUGCAAGCGUUAUUCGGAUUCAUUGGGCGUAAAGGGUGCGUAGGCGGUCGUGUAAGUCGGAUGUGAAAUCCCGGGGCUCAACCCCGGAACUGCAUUCGAUACUGCAUGGCUAGGGUACUGGAGAGGAAACUGGAAUUUACGGUGUAGCAGUGAAAUGCGUAGAUAUCGUAAGGAAGACCAGUGGCGAAGGCGAGUUUCUGGGCAGUUACCGACGCUGAGGCACGAAGGCCAGGGGAGCAAACGGG
rnacentral:rRNA from 1 species